CGAACUCCUGUCUCCUCGCAUUAUGUUUUCCCCAAACCGCCGCCGCAGCGUCGUCCCAUCUCCUCCGCUCCCCUACUCCUUUGUUGACCCGUCCCCCAUAGCAGAAUCGCUCUCUCGCAUCCUCUGGAAUCGUGGCCGCGGUGGCUGCGUGCUACCUCUGGCUUCCGUUGCCCUCCUGCAGCAUACUCGGCAUUCUGAGUGCUCUUCUUAAUCCCCGCCUGUCAAUGGCGCCUCCCAUGUCUCGAUCUCGAUCAACCUCGAUUUUGUAUGGGGAUCACGCCAUCUCUUCCCCGGCCACAAUUACCAGUGCUCUAUCUUUUUCUCCAUCCCUCCCUCUCUCAGCAUGCUCCAGUUCCUGACGGUAAUGUUGGUAUUGGUCCCAAAACAGUUUGAUUGAUAGAGCUUCGAACAUAUAGUAACCAGAGACCUCAAAUUAGAUAAUUUUACAGUGGAUUGGUCUAGCCAGGGAGGUCAGGAUCCUUGAUUGGAAGAAACGUGUGCAACAUGGAGAUGCUUAUUUUUUUUUGUAUUUAAAUUUUCAGGCACUACUGAUGUAGCCGGGCAUAAUACAUUAAUAGUAAUUUAUAAAUAUUUAUUUUGUUCCAAGCUGCAAGUGAAUAUUAAAUACCAUAUAUCCUGUCCUUUGUUUCUGAAUACUGCAUUUUGCUUGCAUUUUUGCAAUUAAAAAUCAGCCAUAUAGAAGCCAAUUACAUUCGACCAAUCCCAAAAGAUAGUACAGGAGCAAUAGAAGUUUGCUUCAAUACAGUUGUGGGCUGUUGCUGUUACAUGUGACCAAGGAGAAAUAUCAUGUUUUUCUUUUUCUUAUAUCAACCCAAAAGAUAGAACUGAGUGCAGAAAAUCAUCAUUGUGGCGUCAGUUAAGAAUUUUCAUUGGUUCUUCAGUGAAGGUAGUGAUAUGAUAACCCAUGGAGAUAGAGCUUGGCUAACCAUUGCUCAACUAAGUUAUUUCUUCUUCAGAUUUAGCUAUGGGAAUUGUAGUCCACAUCUAUGCGCUCGAUCUGUCAUCAUAUGGAUUUCACGUGUAGCGUCAUCUGUACUCCCAUGUCUGUUGGUGGUGUAGGAUGAUCAUAUAUUUUUGACUCUGCAAAUGACAGUAAAUGUUCUUUGUUUUAACACUUCGCUCAACCAAGUAGAUUUGUUUUGUUUUCAGCUCCCACGCCUAUGUGCAGUAUGAUAUUUGUGAGUUUCAGUUAAGAGCAGUUGAGGAUUCAAUUUCUUUGAUAAUCAUGGAAUGAUAUUGGUGAAUUUCAGUUAAGAGCAGUCAAGGAUUCAAUUUCUUUGAUAAUCAUAUUAUGAUAUUGAAUCUGAAGGAGGGAGGCUUGCGAAGUAGCCUUUUUACACAAUUAAUAUUCGCAUAGAUAAAUAUUUACUCUUAUAACAGUAAAAGUUGCUCUAUACGUGUGCUUCGGUCUUAUGAUUAUAUUUCUUUUUCUGUCUAGCACCGACUAAGUGUUUCAGAGAUGAAAAUAAUUUCAGUACAAGAUCUUGAGACCUAAAUUAUUGCAUAUAAUGUGGUUGUAUGUGCUCCAUCACUGUUUGUGCAAUUAUAGUACAUAGUCUGAAUUAUGAUAGAAAUUACCUCGGAUUUAGCAUACUAGAGAUAUACUGAGAUCAACCUCUUGAUCUACGUACAAAAUGUUGUGCUUUAUAUGGAGCACCAAAUCCUGCCUAUUGCAGUGCACAAGCUGUCAUGGAUAUGGAUAAAGCAGAAGUUAAUAAAAUACAAAAUCAUUUUGGGUGCUCCGAGUUUGCCCAAACCAUACCACUUUAUAUGUUUGUUUAUUUUUCUAUCCAUUCUUAAUUUAGUUGAAAUUAAAUUUAUUUUAUUACCCUGUUGCGUCUUGCAUAAUAUUUUUUUCUUUGGUAAGUUUUUGUCUGACAGAUCUUAACUAUUGGCCAUCAGGUUAGCAUGUCCGUCAUGUUCUUGUGUUCUGAAGCUGCCAUGGAUUCAAUUUAUGCUACAAAUUCCUUACAGUACACUUAACAACAAUUAGUGUAUGCCCCCAUUUUCUUGCCUGACAUAUACUCCCUCCGUUCUAAAAACUGUCAUAUUAGCUUUCAUCAUUAAGACAAGGUUUUGACCACAAAUUACUAUAUUAAAGUGUGGUUUAUAUAUCAUGAAACCACAAAUAUCAUGAAGCACUUUUGAUAACAAAUCUAGCGAUACUAAUUUUAUGUUAUAUAAACCACACUUUGACAUAGUAAUUUGUGGUCAAAGCCUUGUCUUAAUGAAAGCUAAUAUGGCAUUUUUUAAGGAACGGAGGGAGUAAAGUUCAAUUUGAGUUUGCAUAAAUAAUUGUAAUCAGAGAUAGAAAAGGGAGGGAGAGAGCUGCAUGUCACGGUUGAGGGAGCCCAAUCAGUUCAAUACAUGAUUCAUGUGAGCAAAAGCAGGGUUUUUUUUGUUGCCUCGAUGUAUAUGUCUGAUGGCUUCAGACCUGCUUGUUAUUUGCAGUGUAAGCAUCUCUGUACAUGUGAAAAUGCAUAUUUAAAGAGGAGGUUGCUGAUAACAAAUGGUGGUUUUGGGCGGCAACUAUAUGUUUCUUGGCACUUCUCUUCAUUUUUGCAGUACAUAGCUUUGCAAUCAGAGAAGGGAAAGAUAAGCAGUCAAGAAGGAUACAAGAUGAAUGCAUAUGAAGAAAAAGAAUAUGCUACAAAGCUCCCAAAAGAAAUGCUGACACAGAGAUUCUUAAUGGUUUUUUAAGGUGCCAAUGCUACAGGUAAAAAUUAACUACUUCCUCCGUUCAACAAAUGAUGUCUCAACUUUGACUGAAUUUGAAUGCAUCUAUAUGCUAAGUCAUGUCUACAUACAUUCAAAUUUUGACAAACUUGAGACAUCUUUUGUUGAACGGAGGGAGUAUAAGCAUUCAAAUGUUCAAUGCCAUAGUUUGGCUCCAGUCUGCAGCAUCAGGCAUGUCAUCAUUGUGACCGUUGCAUGCAUGGUGUCCUGUUAAUAUUUGAAUCUGUAUGACUUUCUAUAAAAUGUUUAUAUUGGGCUGUAGAUAUUUGAAAUCAUUGGACUCACCUACAAGGUCGACUCAUGAAUGAGAAUGGGAUGAGAUGGGAUUUUCAA